rnacentral:rRNA from 1 species
UACGUAGGGGGCAAGCGUUGUCCGGAAUCAUUGGGCGUAAAGCGCGUGUAGGCGGCUUGGUAAGUCCGCUCUGAAAGCCCGGGGCUCAACCUCGAGACGCCGAUGGAAACCAUCUGACUAGAGUCCGGAAGAGGAGAGUGGAAUUCCUGGUGUAGCGGUGAAAUGCGCAGAUAUCAGGAAGAACACCGGUGGCGAAGGCGGGUCUCUGGGCCGUAAGCUGACGCUGAGGAGCGAAAGCGUGGGGAGCGAACAGG